GACGAACCGUGCGACCGUUGUUCGGAAUCACUGGGCUUAAAGGGCGCGUAGGCGGCAUAGCAAGUCCGGGGUGAAAGCCCCCGGCUCAACCGGGGAAGUGCCUUGGAAACUGCUAUGCUCGAGGGAGGUAGGGGUCGAGGGAACUUCUGGUGGAGCGGUGAAAUGCGUUGAUAUCAGAAGGAACGCCGGUGGCGAAAGCGCUCGACUGGACCUUUUCUGACGCUGAGGCGCGAAAGCUAGGGGAGCAAACGGG
rnacentral:rRNA from 1 species